AAAAAUAGUUUUUGUGUUAUUUAGAGGGAAAUGCAUGCAUUUUAGCUUUUCAAAUGUUGUUAAAAGUUCCAAAUACAUUUUUAAAGUAGCUAAAUUUGUUGCUAGGUGCUGUUUGAAAAAAAAAGUUGCCAGGGUAGUCUGAAAAGUUGAUAAAUCUAGCAACAAAAUUGCUAAAUUGGCAUCACUGCUCUGAUGCCAACAGUUGAUCCGGGUCAGUCCAGGUCUGGCCAUGCAGGGAGACCCAGGGAAGGUGGAACUACACAGUCUGGAGGUACAGUUCUAGGUUAAAAAAAGCAGGAAAGUAUUAGUAUGGAGUAGGGUAUAUCUUCGGGGCAGAAUUGUUGUGUUGAAUUAGCAGGUUAUGAGGAAGGAGUCGCAAUCAUUAUAGUGAAUACAGUAGGCAUCCAGGCUGAUUCGUUUGGAUUGGUGGAGCUGCUGAGCUGUUCUUAUCAACAUUGAGCCGGAGUGUUAGACGUUUCUGUUGUUGUGUUACUGAGAGGCUGUUUGUUUGUUUUGUCUGCAGAUAAUUCUGGGGGAAACGGGAGCAGCGGGACAUGAGAUAAUUUCCUGGGCCGCUGGCUAGGGAAGACCUGCACAAAGGAGAUGCCAUGUGUUUUGUCCACCAGAGGGCAGAAGCCUGCAUGAUAAGGGCUCUGCCGGCCUCCUUUGGAAUCUACUUGUACUGCUGUUCAGCCAAAAUGGAGUAGGUGAACAUCUCUUCACGCUCUUAUAUUAGGUGAAACCCCUUUCUCUUAUUGCUCUUGAAAUAUCACAAAUUGGCCAAGAUGGUCCAAACUACACGCAACAAACAUUUGUUAUCCCAGUCUGUGGAAUUUGGAUUAUCUGCAUUAUCUGUGAGGCGCUGUGCCCACCCACAAACUCAUUCUAACAUUACCCUUUUUUUAAAUCUCCCUGGAUUCAUUCAGCGUAUUGUUGGCUCAGACAUGGUAGAGCUGAGGAACUCUCAGGGACAAUAUGGUUCAGGAGGCAGUGAAGGCUCAGAGGCCCCUACCCUAAUAGAUCUGAGCGAGGGCCCCAGUCCUGAGACAAACACCUUGGAUGGAGCAGACCUACUAACAGGGGCAGCCACUAGUGUCUGUAUGGCUGAGUUCACAGAGAAGGAUAUGCAGGGAUACGCCAAGCUUCUCCUGGCUGGACGGAAGAAGGUCAGGGUAAACUCUCUGUCCCUGUCUCAGUUUGUCGGUCUGUGUCUUUCUCUCUCUUUUUUGGUCUCGCUCCUCACUGUUCCCCUCUCUAUUUAUAUCAGAGAUAUUUAGUAAGAUUAAUGGUAAAAUCAUCUCCUAUGUAUUCUGAGAGUAAUAGAUGGUGUAUGACACUGAUUAAAACCACAAAGACAGCAUAGUUGACACAUUACUGUCUGACUAAUGUUACACCAGGACUAUCCUCUUACUCCUCCAACACUAACCCCUGACACUGUGUUCUUCUGCAACCCUUCCACGUCUCCAUGUUCUUUCACACCUCCUUCACCCCUGCCCUAUGCCUCCAUCAUAACUCCCCACGCCUCAUGUCUCCUCCAGAUACUUUAGACUCACAGAUCCCCCCUCUGCUAGCUCUCCCACAUCUCCCUUACACCUCCCCAUGCCUCCCCACGUCUCCCCCCACAGUUCCUUCACACCUCCCCCACACCUUCCCAUUGUUCCUUCACGCCUUCCCAUGCCUCCCUCCACGCCUCAUUCACAUCUCCUCCACAUCACCUUUAUGGUUCUUUCGCAUGAAGCCCUAGAGUCGGCCAUGAAGAGUGGACUGUGGGGACACGCCCUGUUCCUGGCCAGCAAGAUGGACAACAGGUUCUAUAUCACUGUGUGGAACAGGUGAGAGCAUGGAGCAGCAUUAUCUCUGAGACAUUACAACAUAGAUAUAGAAUAUUUGUCCGCAUAGUAAAUUGAAUUGACUGUUUGAUAUUUUGUUUUCAGUGGCACUUUUUACAGGUCAUAAACACCCCCUUAUAGGGAUAUUAAGUCUUUAAUUAAUUCCUAGAAGAUUGAUCUUUCUCCGGACUUUCAUAAGUAAAAUCUAUAUAUACUGUCUUUGUCCCAAAUGGCACCUUAUUCCCUACAUAGUGCACUACGUUGACCAGAGCCCUAUGGAUCCUGGUCGAAAGUGGCACACCAUGUAGGGAAUAGGGUGCUAUUUGGGACAUAUACACUGUUUCUAUCCUGUAGUACUUUGGUCACUCACUUACAGCUGUUGUCUUCUUCCUAUAAUCUAAGCAAGGAUAUUCCUGUUGUGAACCCUGUGAAUUGCUCAGUCAAUAAUACACAGAGAUGGACUAUAUCAUAAUAUCCUUGUGAACUGCUAGACCUCGUAACCCAACUCUUCAUACUGCAUAAUCAGCAGUGCCUCCAUGCCUAGAGAGAGAAUGUGUUUUUGGGGGCAGUAAGGCCACAUGAGUGGGGGAGUUGGAUGGAGCUGGGAAUUCCCAGCCUGGGAGGAAGCAGGAGGGAGAGGCGAAUGGAGACGAGGAUGAGGGGGGAGGAGUGAGGCUGGGGAGAGUAUAUAUAUAUAUAUAUAUAUAUGUGUGUGUGUGUGUAUAUAUAUGUGUGUGUGUGUGUGUGUGUAUAGAUAUAUAUGUAGAUAGAUAUAUAUAUACGUGUAUAUGUGUGUUGGUUUGUGUAUAUAUAUAUACAUAGAUUAUUAUAUA
rnacentral:lncRNA from 1 species